AAUAUUGGACAAUGGGCGAAAGCCUGAGCCACGCCUCCCGCGUGUGUUAAGAAGGUUUUUGGAUGUUAAAGCUCUUUAUCAUGGGAGGAGGGGCAUGACGUUAAUAGCUUGAUGUGUUGCCGUUACAGACAGCACAAGCCCCGGCUCAAUUCGUGCCGGGAGACGCGGUAAUACGGAGGGUGCAAGCGUUAAUCGGAAGUACUGGGCGUAAAGCGCGCGUAGGUGGUUUUUGAAGUUGGAAGUGAAAGCCCCGGGCUCAACCGGGGAACUGCUUUCAAAACUGGCAAGCUAGAGUAUGGCAGAGGGUGGUGGAAUUUCCUGUGUAGCGGUGAAAUGCGUAGAUAUAGGAAGGAACACCAGUGGCGAAGGCGACCACCUGGGCUAAUACUGACACUGAGGUGCGAAAGCGUGGGGAGCAAAC
rnacentral:rRNA from 1 species